rnacentral:rRNA from 1 species
AUUGAACGCUGGCGGCAGGCCUAACACAUGCAAGUCGAACGCACUAGCAAUAGUGAGUGGCGCACGGGUGCGUAACACGUGGGUAAUCAACCCUUCAGCCUGGGAUAACGACUCGAAAGGGUCGCUAAUACCGGAUACGGCGCGAGAGGCUUCGGCUUCUCACGAGAAAGCCACGCAAGGGGCACUGAAGGACGAGCCUGCGGCCCAUCAGCUAGUUGGUGAGGUAAGAGCUCACCAAGGCUAAGACGGGUAGCUGGUCUGAGAGGAUGAUCAGCCACACUGGAACUGAGACACGGUCCAGACUCCUACGGGAGGCAGCAGUGGGGAAUAUUGCGCAAUGGGCGAAAGCCUGACGCAGCCACGCCGCGUGAGCGAUGAAGGCCUCGGUCGUAAGACUCUGUGGGAGGAGACGAAGAAAGACC